CCGCGUGAGUUGAUGAAGGCCCUAGGGUUGGUAAAGCUCUUUUGUGCGGGAAGAUAAUGACGGUACCGCAAGAACUAAGCCCCGGCUAACUUACGUCGC
rnacentral:rRNA from 1 species